CAAUGGAGGCAGCAUUAACACACCUAAGCUUCGGCCUUUCAGCACCAUUUCAACCACCCACUAAGAAGCCACCGCCUAGACUCAAUGCCGUUAGCGGCGGAGCAACUAAUUUCUCCGCCAGCAAAUGGGCGGAUCGUCUCCUCGCCGACUUCCAAUUCCUUCCUUCCAAUAAUGACUCGCCCGAUUUCCAAAAUUCAACCUCCAGUACAACUACUAUUCCUCCUCAACUCUCUCCUCCAGACCGUCACAUUUCAAUGCCGAUAGACUUUUAUAAAGUGCUUGGUGCUGAACCUCACUUCCUCGCUGACGGUAUCAGAAGAUCCUACGAUGCUAGAAUUACAAAGCCGCCGCAGUACGGCUACAGUCAGGAGGCAUUGAUUGGGCGACGACAGAUUCUUCAAGCUGCUUGUGAAACCCUCGCUGACUCUACCUCUCGUAGAGAGUACAAUCAAGGCCUCGCUCAGCAUGAGUUCGAUACUAUUCUAACUCCUGUCCCCUGGGAUAAAAUUCCUGGAGCAUUGUGUGUUUUGCAAGAAGCUGGUGAGACUGAAGUAGUUCUUCAGGUUGGAGAAAGCUUGCUGAAAGAGAGGUUGCCGAAGUCAUUCAAGCAAGAUGUGGUCUUGGCUAUGGCACUCGCAUAUGUUGAUCAUUCGCGAGAUGCCAUGGCACUUUCACCUCCUGAUUUUGUUAAAGGUUGUGAACUGCUUGAAAGAGCGCUUAAACUGUUGCAGGAAGAAGGUGCAAGCAAUCUUGCCCUUGAUCUUCAAUCCCAGAUAGAUGAGACAUUAGAAGAGAUAAAUCCACGCUAUGUACUUGAAAUUCUAGCUUUUCCUCUUGGUGAUGAAUACCGAAUGAAAAGAGCUGAGGGUCUUCAAGGUGUGCGCAAUAUUUUGUGGGCUGUUGGAGGAGGAGGAGCAGCUGCAAUUUCUGGGGGGUUCACACGAGAAGAUUUCAUGAAUGAGGCCUUCCUACGGAUGACAGCUGCUGAGCAGGUGGACCUCUUCGUCGCAACGCCAAGUAACAUUCCUGCUGAAAGCUUUGAAGUUUAUGGAGUGGCGCUUGCACUUGUUGCUCAAGCUUUUGUUGGAAAAAAACCUCAUCUCAUCCAAGAUGCUGAUAACCUUUUUCAGCAGCUUCAGCAGACCAAAGUAACAGCUUACGGCAGUUCUGUGUCUGUCUACACUGUUAGAGAAAACCGUGAAAUAGACUUUGCUUUGGAGAGGGGCCUUUGUUCACUGCUCGUUGGAGAAGUCGAUGAAUGUCGCUCAUGGUUGGGCCUAGACAGUGAGAACUCGCCCUAUAGAGAUCCAUCUAUUGUGACUUUUAUUGCAGAACACUCGAAGGAUGACAAUGAAAAUGAUCUGCUCCCUGGACUAUGUAAGCUUUUGGAGACCUGGUUGAUGGAAGUGGUCUUUCCCAGAUUUAGAGAGACAGAAGAUAUCACUUUCAGGCUCGGAGACUAUUAUGAUGACCCUACUGUUUUAAGAUAUUUGGAAAGGCUGGAAGGUGGUGGUGCUUCACCUUUAGCUGCUGCUGCAGCUAUUGCAAGGAUUGGAGCUGAAGCUACAGCUGUGCUUGAUAGUGUUAAGGCUAGUGCAAUUCAGGCAUUACAGAAAGUUUUUCCUGCUGGUGAUGGGGAAGGCAGUGUAAGACGAUAUGGCGAUAAUGAGAUGAACGGAUUUGAUAUGGCUAAGCCAUUUGAGGAUCCUGGAGAGCUUCGCGAUCAAAAUAAUUUCAUCAUGUCAGUUGAGGAUCCUGGCAGAAUCAGUUCUGAAUAUCAGGAGCAAGAUUCGAUAACCGACAAAAUAAAAGAUGCAAGUGUGAAAAUUAUGUGUGCUGGAGUGGCAGUCGGAUUCUUGACUUUGGUUGGGUUGAAGCUUUCUUCCGUUAGACAUGGGUCGUCAGUUCAACAUAAUGCUACUAAUUCAGCCAUUGCCUCGGAUGUCAUCAAUGUGGAUGCCUCACUAGUUGAAAACCCUCUUGACGUUCCUAGAAUGGAUGCAAGGCUUGCAGAAAGUAUAGUUAGGAAGUGGCAGAAUAUCAAAUCCCAGUCGCUUGGAACUGAUCACUGUCUCAACAAAUUGUCAGAGGUUUUGGAUGGUCAGAUGCUGAAGAUUUGGACAGACCGUGCAACAGAAAUUGCCCAGCAUGGUUGGUUUUGGGAGUACAAGCUUUUAAACCUUGCCAUUGAUAGUGUGACUGUUUCAGCUGAUGGCCGACGUGCUACUGUGGAAGCUACUCUUGAGGAAUCAGCAAGUUUAACUGAUGUAGCCCAUCCGGAGCACAAUGACUCAUACAGUACUACAUAUACAACUAGGUACGACAUGUCCUGGGCAAACUCCGGUUGGAAAAUUGUGGAAGGAGCCGUUCUUAAAUCACGAUAAUGGAUGUAUAUGUUGACAAAAGUUUCGUGUAAAGUGCACCUUUUUUGUUUAUUUUGCUUUACUGUCAAAGUUGGGUAAAUGGUUAGUUUUGGCUAAUGUAAUGUACCUUGUUUGGGUCAUAGAGUUUCCAAGUGUAGUCACAAAAAUGACCAAUAUUUGUCUUGAGUUGAAUGCUAUACUGAAACCCAAGGGGUUGCCAGAUUAGUGGUGAA